rnacentral:rRNA from 1 species
AAAGGUCUCUGUUAAUACCAGGGGCUGAUGACGGUACCGUAAGAAUAAGCACCGGCUAACUACGUGCCAGCAGCCGCGGUAAUACGUAGGGUGCGAGCGUUAAUCGGAAUUACUGGGCGUAAAGCGUGCGCAGGCGGUCUUGUAAGACAGAUGUGAAAUCCCCGGGCUCAACCUGGGAACUGCAUUUGUGACUGCAAGGCUAGGGUGCGGCAGAGGGGGAUGGAAUUCCGCGUGUAGCAGUGAAAUGCGUAGAUAUGCGGAGGAACACCGAUGGCGAAGGCAAUCCCCUGGGCCUGCACUGACGCUCAUGCACGAAAGCGUGGGGAGCAAACAGGAUUAGAUACCCUGGUAGUCCACGCCCUAAACGAUGUCAACUGGUUGUUGGGUCUUCACUGACUCAGUAACGAAGCUAACGCGUGAAGUUGACCGCCUGGGGAGUACGGCC